UGGUACCUAAUGUGGGUCCCGAGAAUGGGGGAACUAGUGAGGGAUUCUGUUUGAGAAGCUGGCACAAAAACAGAACAGAGAAAAUUCCAAAAAUAGAGGAAAAGACUAUGUGGGAAACUGCUGCUUUCUCUAAACCUCAGUAAUGGAACAGUGAUUAUGGGACAAGAAAUGAUCCAGAGUGAGAUUUUUGUUGAAAGUUUAGGAAAGGAUUUACAGGCACGAGGAGUAAAGGUUAAAAUUAAGCAGUUAUGUCAACAUUUUGAUUUUAUAAAGGAAGUUUGUCCCU
rfam:Cavia porcellus supercont2_201 genomic scaffold, whole genome shotgun sequence.